rnacentral:rRNA from 1 species
ACUGAGACACGGCCCAGACUCCUACGGGAGGCAGCAGUAGGGAAUCUUCCACAAUGGGCGCAAGCCUGAUGGAGCAACGCCGCGUGAGUGAGGAAGGCUUUCGGGUCGUAAAGCUCUGUUGCCAGGGAAGAAUAAGGACGUGUUAACUGCACGUUUGAUGACGGUACCUGAGAAGAAAGCCCCGGCUAACUACGUGCCAGCAGCCGCGGUAAUACGUAGGGGGCAAGCGUUGUCCGGAUUUAUUGGGCGUAAAGCGCGCGCAGGCGGUUCUUUAAGUCUGGUGUCUAAGUGCGGGGCUCAACCCCGUGAUGCACUGGAAACUGGGGAACUUGAGUGCAGAAGAGGAGAGCGGAAUUCCACGUGUAGCGGUGAAAUGCGUAGAGAUGUGGAGGAACACCAGUGGCGAAGGCGGCUCUCUGGACUGUAACUGACGCUGAGGCGCGAAAGCGUGGGGAGCAAACAGGAUUAGAUACCCUGGUAGUCCACGCUGUAAACGAUGAGUGCUAGGUGUUGGGGGUAUCAUGCCCUCGGUGCCGAAGUUAACACAUUAAGCACUCCGCCUGGGGAGUACGGUCGCAAGACUG